AUCAAAAUCAAACAUAUUGAGAGGUACGAAGUGAUUUAUUCCAUAACCUACAAAUUGGUUAGUUAUCCAGUUAGCAUAAUCUAUUAACCUAAAUGAAGCCACAAUAUUUCUUGGCACGUGACGAAAAAUCCUUCAUCCUCAUAAUAAUAAUAUAAAAUAUAAUAUAACAAUCUAUUAACCCCUUUCCUCCCCAACUAUACAUAAUGUUUCAUCAAUUAAAUCUAUAUUAACGUUUCAUCUAUUAAUUUUUUUUUUUUUUUUGUAAUAACUCUCUCUCCCCCACUCCUUCCCCUCCCCUCUCCACCCCAACUAUACAUGCUUGGCCGUAUAGUAUAUGAUUCAUUAAUAUUUUAUCAAAUAUUUGUAUAUUAACGUUUCAUCUGAUAAUUAUAAUCAUAAUUGAUUACUAAACCAACUUUAAAUACGUCAGUGCCUUUCCGUAGCCACCGUAUCAUUCUUUUCAUUUUGCUAAUUUUUUUAUGAAAUUUUAAAAUAUAUUUACCUACUAUGUAAAAUAAUUAGAUUUUAAAUUUAAGCUCUUAGUAUCAAUCAUUAUAUGAUUAAUUCUAUUCGAAUGUUCUCGCGCCGAUCCUCCUCUACACAUAUCGCCUUUGCAAUCUCCAUGCCACCGAUCCCAUCCGUGAGUAUUUUUUUUUCAAAUAUAACAAUUUUUUUAUAUAAAUUUGAGUGAUUUGGCGAGAAUUAGCAACAUUUUGAGGUUAAUUAGAAUUUUUUGGUGCAAUUUUAGCGAUUUGGUAUGAAUAGGUGAUAUUUUGAAAUGCUAUAUGUUACUUGCACAAUUAUUGUUCGUACUACAUUAUACCUUCCAGACUAAAUGAAUGAACAAUCUAUAUUGUAAUAUAUUUUUUUUCUGUUGCAUCGAUUGUUAUAUAACUGUCUAUAUUAUACCCCUUUUGACAUACUAAUAUUUUAUUUAGUUUAAUAUUUUAUUAUUUAUAAAUUUUUUACUUUAGCAGUAACUACCUAUAGAUUAAUAUUUUAUUAUUUAUAAAUUUUUUACUUUAGCAGUAACUACCUAUAGAUUAAUAUUUUAUUAUUUAUAAAUUUUUUACUUUAGCAGUAACUACCUAUAGAUUAAUAUUUUAUUAUUUAUAAAUUUUUUACUUUAGCAGUAACUACCUAUCACGUCACGCGGAUAGCUACACUAGUCAGAAUAUUAUAUUUGUUUUGUAG
rnacentral:lncRNA from 1 species